CCUACGGGUGGCAGCAGUGGGGAAUAUUGGACAAUGGGCGAAAGCCUGAUCCAGCCAUGCCGCGUGUGUGAAGAAGGCCUUCGGGUUGUAAAGCACUUUCAGUGGGGAAGAAAGCCUUGAGGCUAAUACCCUCGAGGAAGGACAUCACCCACAGAAGAAGCACCGGCUAACUCCGUGCCAGCAGCGGCGGUAAUACGGAGGGUGCGAGCGUUAAUCGGAAUUACUGGGCGUAAAGCGCGCGUAGGCGGUCUGAUAAGCCGGUUGUGAAAGCCCCGGGCUCAACCUGGGAACGGCAUCCGGAACUGUCAGGCUAGAGUGCAGGAGAGGAAGGUAGAAUUCCCGGUGUAGCGGUGAAAUGCGUAGAGAUCGGGAGGAAUACCAGUGGCGAAGGCGGCCUUCUGGACUGACACUGACGCUGAGGUGCGAAAGCGUGGGUAGCAAACAGGAUUAGAUACCCCGGUAGUC
rnacentral:rRNA from 1 species